UUGUAAGUUUCACUGGAAAACAGUUGCC
rnacentral:piRNA from 1 species